rnacentral:rRNA from 1 species
UAAUUUGCCUUCGGGUGGGGAACAACUCAGGGAAACUUGAGCUAAUACCGCAUAAUGCAGCGGCAUUUAAUUAUGACAGUUGUUAAAGCGGAGGAUCGAAAGACUUCGCGCCUGAAGAGAAGCCUGCGGCAGAUUAGCUAGUUGGUAAGGUAAUGGCUUACCAAGGCGACGAUCUGUAACCGGUCUAAGAGGACGGUCGGUCACACUGACACUGAAUAACGGGUCAG